rnacentral:rRNA from 1 species
CAAUAGCGUAUAUUAAAGUUGUUGCGGUUAAAAAGCUCGUAGUUGGAUUUCUGCUGAGGAUGACCGGUCCGCCCUGUGGGUGUGCAUCUGGCUCAGCCUUGGCAUCUUCCUGAAGAACGUAGCUGCACUUGACUGUGUGGUGCGGUAUUUAGGACAUUUACUUUGAGGAAAUUAGAGUGUUUCAAGCAAGCGCACGCUUUGAAUACAUUAGCAUGGAAUAAUAAGAUAGGACCUUGGUUCUAUUUUGUUGGUUUCUAGAGCUGAGGUAAUGAUUGAUAGGGAUAGUUGGGGGCAUUCGUAUUUAACUGUCAGAGGUGAAGUUCUUGGAUUUGUUAAAGACGGACUACUGCGAAAGCAUUUGCCAAGGAUGUUUUCAUUGA